rnacentral:tRNA from 1 species
CUAGGAUCCUAAUUUAGACUAUUGUCUG